UUCCUUCGGGAACGGAUUAGCGGCGGACGGGUGAGUAACACGUGGGUAACCUGCCUCAAAGAGGGGGAUAGCCUCCCGAAAGGGAGAUUAAUACCGCAUAACAUUGUUUUCUCGCAUGAGAAGAUAAUCAAAGGAGCAAUCCGCUUUGAGAUGGACCCGCGGCGCAUUAGCUAGUUGGUGAGGUAACGGCUCACCAAGGCGACGAUGCGUAGCCGACCUGAGAGGGUGAUCGGCCACAUUGGAACUGAGACACGGUCCAGACUCCUACGGGAGGCAGCAGUGGGGAAUAUUGCGCAAUGGGGGAAACCCUGACGCAGCAACGCCGCGUGAGUGAUGAAGGUCUUCGGAUUGUAAAGCUCUGUCUUUGGGGACGAUAAUGACGGUACCCAAGGAGGAAGCCACGGCUAACUACGUGCCAGCAGCCGCGGUAAUACGUAGGUGGCAAGCGUUGUCCGGAUUUACUGGGCGUAAAGAGUAUGUAGGCGGAUAUUUAAGUCAGAUGUG
rnacentral:rRNA from 1 species